rnacentral:rRNA from 1 species
UACGUAGGGUGCGAGCGUUGUCCGGAAUUAUUGGGCGUAAAGAGCUCGUAGGCGGUCUGUCGCGUCGGUCGUGAAAACUUGGGGCUUAACCCUGAGCUUGCGGUCGAUACGGGCAUGACUGGAGUUCGGUAGGGGAGACUGGAAUUCCUGGUGUAGCGGUGAAAUGCGCAGAUAUCAGGAGGAACACCGGUGGCGAAGGCGGGACUCUGGGCCGAUACUGACGCUGAGGAGCGAAAGCGUGGGGAGCGAACAGG